UUGGACAGAGGCCGAACCUUUCUUGUCUGAAACAUAUAAAUGAACUGUUUUGGAACAUUUUAGCUAAAGGAAACGUUAGGAGUGACUCUAAGCAGAAGACAUCUCACGCUUCAAAGGACAGAAAACAGCAAUCUGACAGUAUCUUGAUUUUCCAGGUGUCAGACUCCUGCUACUGAACAACCUUCCAUCCAGCACAGUACAGUUUUGGCAGAAAGACAAUAUGGGAGCUGGAGCAUCUUCAACUUCAUCUGCAUCUUUAGUUCAUGCUGGUGGAAAUGUCACAAUUAACCUACGAUCUGCAAGACCAUGCUCCAAACUCCAUGUGGCAAAUGCAACUGGGAAGCCACUUCGUAUAUUUUAUGGAGUGGAGAAGAAGGAGCUUGAAGAAAUGGUGCUACACGACGGUGGAGAGUCCAGCACCAAGAAGGUCUUUAAGUCUGAUCUCAAGGACCAAUACAUUCAACUCGACAUCAACACACUCUUACCGUUUCCUGAGAAAGGCGUCGACUAUGCCUGUGUGUUCGUGGAAGAUGAGCAUGACAGAAAUACUUGCCUGGAAACCGUGGUGCUCAACUACAGUGUCACUCCUGGAAAAUCUUUCAUUAUAGCAGCUGACCACAGCAUCAAGAUCCACAAGUUAGGAGCAGGCCCCUGGGUGGAUGAAGAAGGGCAUGACCACUCUACAAAGUAGAUUUACAGCAACACCUGGUUAUUUUCUAUAUCAAAUCGAUCAAAAUGGAGAAUCAAUCUUUCAAGAAAUAUAAUUGAUAGUAUUCUUUGCUUAACUAGCACAUUUGUCUGCAAAAUUAUAGUUUCUUUGUAAACAUUAUCAUAGACAUCCUCACUUAAACACUGAGCGUAUGCUGCAGACUCUUCAUUGUUUGUUAUUUAGAAUUCCUUGUAGUACUACUAAUAAUACAAUGUACAGUACACAUAUUUUUCCUUCACAUUUCCAAGUCUAUGUUGCUUAAAGCUGUCAAUUAAUAAAAACCGUGAGAUUUGAAAUACAAUUGCCUAUAAAUACUAUUGAUACACAUUAUUCAUAUACAGUUUAGACAGCUAGCCACAGUGUCCCCAGAUGUAUUCAACCCCAUUGAUGAAAGAAAUUUAAAAAACAUCAGUAGAAAUGAAACAGGUUUGCAGAUAGUUCGACAUGUUUAAACUAUUCUAAAAGGUUAUUCUGUAAUCAUAAUAAAAUUGCACAGAACAA